rfam:Pelistega indica strain HM-7 Contig20, whole genome shotgun sequence.
AAAGUAAGCUAGGCAAUCGCGAAUUAUUAAUUCGAGGAAAGUCCGGACUCCGUAGAGCGAGAUAGCGGCUAACAGCCGUCCACUUAGCAAUAAGUGAGGAAUAGGGCCACAGAGACGAGACUAUUAUGUGGGUUUGUCCUCUGGAUAAACACUGAUACGGCAACUUCCGUAUGGCGUUAUGUCAAUAACAGCAUAGUAGGGUGAAACGCGGUAACCUCUAUUUGGAGCAACAUCAAAUAGGCAUACGCUAAGGGCUGCUCGUCCGAGUAUGCGGGUAGAUGGCUUGAGUACUUAAGUAAUUAAGUACCUAGAGGAAUGAUUGCCGACCCAUGAAGAGAAAUCUUAAGGGUUUACAUAAUCCGGCUUAUAGGCUUACUUUGUCU